CCAAUAUCUGAACUUUUCAAGAAUAAUAAAUAAGCAUAUAACUAAAAAAAGGGUGUAUUUUAUAAUAUUUAUAAAUUCAUAUGGACCAUAUGAUGUGGGAUAUUUGAGAUUGAUUCUUUUGACACUUGAGUUCUGUUAAGGAUUUGGCAAAAGUCUCCCAUGAGGUGCCAAGCAACUCUCCUCUAGCCAGGCUUGGAACAGAAACCAAAGGCUAAAAGCUUGACACUGGGAGAGUAGAUGCAUAUACUUUUCUCUAGGGAUGGGCAAAAUGGCUUUAUGCUCGACUGAGAAGUAA